GCCUGCGCAACAGGAAUGAAAGCAGAGGCUGGUUUUGACAGCGGCCGUGACAAUUUAAUGACCCCUCGUGACAUCAGAGCCAGGCCUGAGAUGCUUGCAUCUUGGGACGGACUGGCUGACCUCUCAAGGUCACUUCCCGCUCCGGUUGCCACAACGGGCAAACACGUGUCCUGCUUUCCAGAGCUUGCUCACCGGAGAGCUCAGGGCGGGAUUUCUGUGCUGCUCUUUGCCCCCCGAACAGAUGUUACUGCAAUGGAGGCAUGGUUGGGACUCAGAAAGCACGCGAUCCUCAUCCCACCGUCAGGAUGCCUCGUUCUGCGGUGGCAAGAUGCCAGUUCACCCCAGCAAGGCAAUAAUGGCCCUGAAUAAUUAAGUGCACGUUCCUACUCCCUGGAGACCCCUGAGAGUUGCUGGGAGCUCGAGGGCAGCAGAAGCAGACCCUAAAGCUGGAAACUCGAUAUCCUUUUUGCUGAAGGGUAAUAAAUCAACCUAUUUUUAAAUUUUUUGUUUAAUAAAAAGGUGUUGCUUCCCUUAAAACAGUCAUCACCCCCCAUUCAGCAAAUCCAGACCUCUUCCUAUCCACACAAAACCGACUGGGCAAACACAACAGGAAGAAAUCUUCCGAGGGGAAAGAGUUUGUUUGAUUUUAGCUGAACAUGACUUCUGACGUGACUCCAGGAUCCAGUCUCUGUACUGGGAGAGGGCUAUCUUUUCCUUGACAAAUUAAUGCAGCGUUUUGGUUUUUUUCAUGAGCUCGGAUACUACAGUAAUGGGAACAGUAGCAGAGCCAACCUAAUCCAAAGGGAAGGCUGUCGGGGUUGUUUCAUGCAAUAAUGGAGAAUUGACUGGUUUUGUGAUCAGUCUGCUAGGAUCUGAAACUCCUCCCUCGAAACGUCUCAUAGAUGAGUUGUCCCUUCUGGGCGCCUGUAUUGGCUUCUUUGGAAUAGUAUUUAGACAUUUCUAAUCUGAUGUCAUAAUUGCUCGAACGAAGCCUGCUGUUGCUAACAACAGCCUUUUAUAUCUUUGGAGCAUUGUACAAAAAUUAAGUCAUUCUUGCGACAGUCCGUUAAGGCCCUCGGAUCUAUCUUCCAGAUAGGGAAACUGAGGCAGGGAGGCUUAAUUACUUUCCCAAAGCUAGUGGCAAGGAAGUGGCAGAGAGGAGAUUAAAACCUCAAGACUUCUCGGCUCCCAGACCUGCUUUGAGUCCUGAGGUCAUGCUGUCUUUCCGUGAGCAAUGCAUAGAGAGCGUUGCUCCCGUGCACUUGGUAUCUCACAACCUUUGACAAAGAUUUCACUAGGACAUUGAAGCAAGAAGCCACAAGUAAGUGCUUUGGAGCCCAAGGAGUUGGAUGAAAGGACCAGCAGUAAAAUGACUGACUCGUCUUAUUUUUCUGAAUACUUGAGGGUCUGUGUCACUUCUUAAUGUUGUUUAAAUGUGGCUUUUUAUCUAACGCUGUUGUUUCUGUGAGUACAGAUAGAGCAGCAACACGAAUUGAUUGUACUGUAUGUUUUUUUUAAGUUGAACAAUGUAACCCUGUCAGUUUUCUCAGCGAUCUCAGUGCAUAAAAGCCUACUUAAUGAA